CAGCCGUAAACUAUGCUCGCUAGGUGUCAGGCAUGGCGCGACCGUGUCUGGUGCCGCAGGGAAGCCGUGAAGCGAGCCACCUGGGAAGUACGGCCGCAAGGCUGAAACUUAAAGGAAUUGGCGGGGGAGCACAACAACGGGUGGAGCCUGCGGUUUAAUUGGACUCAACGCCGGACAACUCACCGGGGGACGACAGCAAUAUGUAGGCCAGGCUGAAGACCUUGCCUGAAUCGCUGAGAGGAGGUGCAUGGCGUGUGACUGU
rnacentral:rRNA from 1 species